rnacentral:rRNA from 1 species
GACGAACGCUGGCGGCGUGCCUAAUACAUGCAAGUUGAGCGCUGAAGGUUGGUACUUGUACCAACUGGAUGAGCAGCGAACGGGUGAGUAACGCGUGGGGAAUCUGCCUUUGAGCGGGGGACAACAUUUGGAAACGAAUGCCAAUACCGCAUAAAAACUUUAAACACAAGUUUUAAGUUUGAAAGAUGCAAUUGCAUCACUCAAAGAUGAUCCCGCGUUGUAUUAGCUAGUUGGUGAGGUAAAGGCUCACCAAGGCGAUGAUACAUAGCCGACCUGAGAGGGUGAUCGGCCACAUUGGGACUGAGACACGGCCCAAACUCCUACGGGAGGCAGCAGUAGGGAAUCUUCGGCAAUGGACGAAAGUCUGACCGAGCAACGCCGCGUGAGUGAAGAAGGUUUUCGGAUCGUAAAACUCUGUUGGUAGAGAAGAACGUUGGUGAGAGUGGAAAGCUCAUCAAGUGACGGUAACUACCCAGAAAGGGACGGCUAACUACGUG